rnacentral:rRNA from 1 species
UACGGGGGGGGCAAGCGUUGUUCGGAAUUACUGGGCGUAAAGGGCUCGUAGGCGGCCAACUAAGUCGGAUGUGAAAUCCCCAGGCUUAACCUGGGAACUGCAUCCGAUACUGGAUGGCUUGAAUCCGGGAGAGGGAUGCAGAAUUCCAGGUGUAGCGGUGAAAUGCGUAGAUAUCUGGAGGAAUACCGGUGGCGAAGGCGGCAUCCUGGACCGGCAUUGAUGCUGAGGAGCGAAAGCUAGGGGAGCAAACGGG